rnacentral:rRNA from 1 species
GUCAGCUCGUGUUGUGAAAUGUUGGGUUAAGUCCCGCAACGAGCGCAACCCUUAUCCUUUGUUGCCAGCACGUAAUGGUGGGAACUCAAAGGAGACUGCCGGUGAUAAACCGGAGGAAGGUGGGGAUGACGUCAAGUCAUCAUGGCCCUUACGGCCAGGGCUACACACGUGCUACAAUGGCGCAUACAAAGAGAAGCGACCUCGCGAGAGCAAGCGGACCUCAUAAAGUGCGUCGUAGUCCGGAUCGGAGUCUGCAACUCGACUCCGUGAAGUCGGAAUCGCUAGUAAUCGUAGAUCAGAAUGCUACGGUGAAUACGUUCCCGGGCCUUGUACACACCGCC